UACGAAGGGGGCUAGCGUUGCUCGGAAUCACUGGGCGUAAAGGGUGCGUAGGCGGGUCUUUAAGUCAGGGGUGAAAUCCUGGAGCUCAACUCCAGAACUGCCUUUGAUACUGAAGAUCUUGAGUCCGGGGAGAGGUGAGUGGAACUGCGAGUGUAGAGGUGAAAUUCGUAGAUAUUCGCAAGAACACCAGUGGCGAAGGGCGGCUCAC
rnacentral:rRNA from 1 species